CCCCGACUGGCACAUCGUGGACGUGGAGGUGACAGCGGUGGCCGAGGGUGGCCGCGCCCUGACUGUCACCAGCAGCCGCCGCAACCCCGCGGGGCCCGGCGAUGUCACCGGCAGUGCCACCCGCCACAGCUUCUGGAGCAGCGUGCAGGCCUGCACCGGACACGGAGGCUGCGUCAAGCUCUGCUGAGCCGGAAACACCGCCGAGGACACCUCGGGGACAUCUUGGGGACACUUUGGGGACAUUUUGAGGACAAUAAAACCCUGCCAGCA